GGUUAGAUGUGGAACUGUUUGGAAGGUUUGCGAUGCGGCAGUUCAUAAGAAAAUUGAUGUCAGUUUAAAUUUAAUGAGUGGAAAAUCAGUCUUGACACCCAAGACCCAACAGCCUUGUGAAGGAUGCUUGAUACUAAUUUAUGUGCAGCAGGACUUAUCUUUUUUGCUGACUGUGGUGGGAUGGCAUAUCUGGAAUCACUGUAUCUCUUUAAUUUUUUCUAAUGUAUACCUACUCUACCACACAUGCACAGAGAAAUUACACUAGCACCAAUUGUUGGUUUUCUAAUUGUCAAGACUUUGAAUGGGAAAAUUCAGUAAAGAGAGAGAAUGCAUUGCAGAAUGUUCUGACCUUGCAUUGGUCAAUUCUCAUUUCUGAAUUCUGUAAAACAUUAUUGUGUUGCAUUUUUCUGUGGGGUGGCCACAAAACUGUUGCUUCUCUAAUUGUAAUUUCUCUUAUUAUUUGGUUUAGUUUAAUUGUUUUUCAGGAAAUUUUUGUUCACUAAAUUGAUAGUUCAAAGAUCUGGUGACCCUUAGAUAAGUGCCAUGUGGAGUAUUAUCUACUACUAUGGUUAUAUGACCACUUAUAUGACCUAUUUGGAUGGUUGGACAACCUCUAGAGUGCUUGAAUGACCACUCUUGGUUGCUGAAGGGGUCUUUAUAACAUGGUUAAAUUAUCUGCAAGACUAGGAAAGGGUCAAAGGGCCAAGAGGGUCUUCCUUAGCUCUCCAACGGCCAAGUUAGUAAGGGUAGUAAUGAGGCUAAAAGAGAGUAAAUGAAUUUAAGCAGAGUGAAAGCAAGAGUAAAUGACUCUUAAAAUGUUCUAUACCUGGUACCUACAGGAGUUAUAUAAAAUCGUCCAACCAAUAGGAGAAGGCCAUGUGUCCUGUCAUAGCAAGUUGAGCUUUAAUAGAAUACUGCAAGUUCUAAAGGAAGGUCUUGUCUAUCAUAAUUAUACAUGAUAGUAGUCACUGUCAUGUUGAAGUGUUAGUGGUAAUUAUCUUGGGAUUUUGCCUUUUAGGGCAGUUAUGCUAGGGUUAUAGAGGUUUCUAGAGUUCCAGGACAUUAAAUGUGUUUAGUCGGCUAUUUUAUACCCCCAGUUGGCAUAAGGUGACUUGGGAUGUAAGGUGCUUAUUCUAUGGGCCCUAGAGCACUCAUUAAGUUGAUAUAGGUUACUCAGGGUAUUACUUAGGUUCAAAAUGAGUGGUCAUGGUCGUGGAGGGUGAGUUGUUAGUGCUUGCACCCACCUGGUGAGCCCUAAGUUUAAGCACAUCUUCCUCAUAGCAUAUGAUCUAUGUUUUAUGACCUACAUACUACGACCAGUCGGUCAUGGUUGUGGAUACAUGGCAUAAUCAUAAGAGGUUUGAAUCUUCCUUUUGUAUCACAACCUUUAUCAUAUUGUGCUCUCUAGAAAGUUACAAUUAGAUAUCAAUUUUAGGCAUGAAUUUAUGCUAUGCUAAGUAUUGAUUAUAUUGGCAUCUCAAUUGCAUUAAUUUUAUCAGUGGCCAAUUUGGCUACUGAACACCAACCUUGCUUAUUUUUGCUUUUGUUUUUUUUCAUAACUAUUGCUUAAUAGCCUUUUUUUGAGAUAUAUUUAUGGAAAAUGAGAAAUUGACAUUUUUAAUCCUUGAUAGACUUAAUGAUGUAGAACAAACAGAACAAAGGAGAAGAAAAACAAUUUCUCAAAUUUAUUAUUUCUCAAAUCAAUUGUCAAUCACAGAAAAAUGUCUCUCCAAAGUACUUAGAAGACAAGUAUUUAUAGAGCAUUUGUAAUCCUUCUAGUAUUAGGAUUUGGAAUCCUGAACAAGAAAAUAUUAAAUAAAUUCUAAUUAGAAAUCCUAAACCAAUUUAACUUCCUAAAUAAAAUAAAAU
rnacentral:misc_RNA from 1 species